CUAUUACUCCUUCGGUCCGUAAAUAUUUGUCAUAAAGAUGGACGUACCUAGAUGGAUUUUAGUUCUGGACACAUUAUUUUUUAUCCAUUUGUGUGACAAGUAAUUGCAAACAGAGGGAGUACUAC
rnacentral:pre_miRNA from 2 species